rnacentral:misc_RNA from 1 species
GAUGAAGAACGUAGUGAAAUGCGAUACUUGGUGUGAAUUGCAGAAUCCCGUGAACCAUCGAGUCUUUGAACGCAAGUUGCGCCCGAAGCCGUCAGGCCGAGGGCACGCCUGCCUGGGCGUCACACGCCGUUGCCCCCCCGCGCCCCGCACCCAACUCUUUGGGAGCGACCGCGGGGCGGGCUGAUGAUGGCCUCCCGUGCGCUCCGCCGCGCGGUUGGCCCAAAUACCGAGUCCCCGGCGACGUGCGCCACGACGAUCGGUGGUUGAGAGACCUCUGUCGCAAGUCGUGCGCGCCCGUCGCGUCACGCGGGCUCGCAUAGCGCCUCGCGCCGCACCCGGUGCGGAGCUUUCAACGCGACCCCAGGUCAGGCGGGGUUACCCGCUGAAUUUAAGAAUAUCAAUAAGCGGAGGA